UACGUAGGCGGCAAGCGUUGUCCGGAUUUACUGGGUGUAAAGGGCGUGUAGGCGGGAGAGCAAGUCAGAAGUGAAAUCCAUGGGCUUAACCCAUGAACUGCUUUUGAAACUGUUCUUCUUGAGUAUCGGAGAGGCAGGCGGAAUUCCUAGUGUAGCGGUGAAAUGCGUAGAUAUUAGGAGGAACACCAGUGGCGAAGGCGGCCUGCUGGACGACAACUGACGCUGAGGCGCGAAAGCGUGGGGAGCAAACAGG
rnacentral:rRNA from 1 species